rnacentral:rRNA from 1 species
GGGCAAGCGUUAUCCGGAAUUACUGGGUGUAAAGGGAGCGUAGACGGUGAUGUAAGUCUGGAGUGAAAGGCGGGGGCCCAACCCCCGGACUGCUCUGGAAACUAUGUGACUGGAGUGCAGGAGAGGUGAGCGGAAUUCCUAGUGUAGCGGUGAAAUGCGUAGAUAUUAGGAGGAACACCAGUGGCGAAGGCGGCUCACUGGACUGUAACUGACGUUGAGGCUCGAAAGCGUGGGGAGCAAACAG